GCUUUGAUGACUUUGACUUCACAAGGACAGACCAUGGUGACUUCAUUAUCAUCAUCAUCCCUAAUCUCUGAACUGACCAAGUCUUACUAAAAGCUAAAGAAAGACCUUACUAAAUCGGACUCCGGUGGCACGCUGGUAAUCUCAGUACUUGAGACCAAGGGAGGAGAUCAGACCCUGCCAAGCCUUUCAGCUAUCUACUUCCUGAGCAAUGAAGCCUGAGGUAAUGAGCUUUUAGAUUUAAACCAGAUUAGAUCUAAGACGAACGUGACCGUUGCUGUCUUGAAUCAGCCACAGGAGAGGUUCAUGGAACUAGGCCUAUUAAUAUCCCCUCAUGAGGAAAAGGUCCAUAUUCAGGAGCAAGUUGACCAGGACUCUUCCAUUAUUGAAGCUUCCCAUAAGUGACCCAAGGACUCCUCAGUGGUGUGGGUUCUUUGUGAAUCAUCCCUGCUACAGGUGAGACUUUUAAUUUGGUAUAGUUGCCCAUUAAACUGCCCAAGGGACUUCCUGGUGAUGUAACUGCCUUGAGUCACCCAUGUACCUAUAAGUGGCCUCAAUAAAUUCAAUGGUUCACCAA
rnacentral:lncRNA from 1 species